rnacentral:rRNA from 1 species
CCUACGGGUGGCAGCAGUGAGGAAUAUUGGUCAAUGGACGGAAGUCUGAACCAGCCAUGCCGCGUGCAGGAAGACGGCUCUAUGAGUUGUAAACUGCUUUUGUACAAGGGUAAACCUGAAUACGUGUAUUCCGCUGUAUGUACUUUACGAAUAAGGAUCGGCUAACUCCGUGACAGCAGCCGCGGUAAUACGGAGGAUCCAAGCGUUAUCCGGAUUUAUUGGGUUUAAAGGGUGCGUAGGCGGAUUGAUAAGUUAGAGGUGAAAUGUCCGGGCUUAACUCGGGAACUGCCGCUAAUACUGGAGACCUAGAGAGUACAUGCGGUAGGCGGAAUGUAUGGUGUAGCGGUGAAAUGCUUAGAGAUCAUACAGAACACCGAUUGCGAAGGCAGCUGACCAAGCUAUAUCUGACGUUGAGGCACGAAAGCGUGGGGAGCAAACAGGAUUAGAUACCCUUGUAGUC